rnacentral:piRNA from 1 species
UUCCAAUGGUCUGCUCACUGGAUGUGCAAUC